AUUUAUAUAAUAUAAAAAUUAUAUUUGACUUCCAAUCAAAAAAUCUAAUAGUUUAGUAUAAAUA
rnacentral:tRNA from 1 species